rnacentral:lncRNA from 1 species
GGACACCCUCUUGAUCUCGCCUUCGGCGUCGACGAAGCCAAAGGUGCCCUUGAUGUUGCCUAAAACAUCGCGGCUCUCCACCUGUCGGGGUUAAUUAGUGACGAUGAUCGGUAGACGAUGGGCAUGCUGUAAGGAUCGCCACCUGCUGGUCGUUGCUCGUCUCGGACGUUUGCUGAUCCAUCGGGUUUGUGCAGCUUGCCGUCACCAAGCAAAAUAUUGCUAUUAGCCAUGGCGUCAUCUUGGAACAGAGAAGACGGUUCGUCAUUCAACUUGGGUAUACGAAACUGGAUGUCAAUCACUGGCCGACCGAGGACACAUCCGGGAUAUCUAAUCGUUGAUGGAAAAUGAUUGGGAGAGGAUCGAGGGCCGAUGGAAACGCGACAAGGAAGACCCACCUUGCAGGUAGAACCCAUGUUACCGCGAAUGCGGCUGGUGUUGACAAUGGGAUGCCGAGUUUCCCGGAGCUGGUUAUAUAGAGUGACACAAUGGCUGCCACCGUUCACCCUGGCUUCGCCGGAGACGCGUUCCCCUCUUCGUGGAGCUGUGCGACCUUGAUGACCCCCAAACAUUCGCCAAUUACAAUGAGACGACUGUGUGUGCCGGGUAACUGGUUGACCUAAAACGCGUGGCUCAGGAAAGUGAAGUAAACAGAAUGUGUAAUGUGCACCCUUUUACAAUUGGAAUUCUAUACCUCUGUUACUUUCUUACAGUUUCUGUGAUACGUAACCCACCAAUCUUCUCGCGUUACGUACACUUUUGAUAAUUCAUAUCCAUACCGCGGUAUUUCUCUGCGACUUUUUCACCCAGAGGUUCAAAUUUUACCAAGAAAUACGUGUUCGUCAUGGGAGGGGAACAAAUUGGCUUCAACGGUUCGUUUGUACCUGGGCCUCGAUUCUUAGUGUGACAUGUAUCAAAAAUUCUUGUCCGCUUUCCAACGCCCAGUGAGAAAAUCAUAACGACUAGAACAGCUUGUGAGAUUCAAGAUUGUCCGAAAAUCUUUUUACCUGAUCAUUAAAUGACUCACGACGUGGUCCGAAUCACAACCUUGAUGACGAUCGUGUAUUUUGAUUAUUUUUUUUUCUUCUAAAAGCGUUUACACGAUUGCCCAGGUGUCC